CUGCGGCAGCGAACGUAUCACUUAAAGCGAUUCAGCGGGUUACGAUUGACGGAGCGAAGCGACGUCAAAGCGUAUACAAAGUCGAGUCGGUUUAAGGAUACGUUCGUUGGGUAGGGGAGCGUUCUGUAAGCCUGCGAAGGUGGCCUGUGAGGGUUGCUGGAGGUAUCAGAAGUGCGAAUGCUGACAUAAGUAACGAUAAAGCGGGUGAAAAGCCCGCUCGCCGGAAGACCAAGGGUUCCUGUCCAACGUUAAUCGGGGCAGGGUGAGUCGACCCCUAAGGCGAGGCCGAAAGGCGUAGUCGAUGGGAAACGGGUUAAUAUUCCCGUACUUGGUGUUACUGCGAAGGGGGGACGGAGAAGGCUAUGUUGGCCGGGCGACGGUUGUCCCGGUUUAAGCGUGUAGGUGUGUGUUCCAGGUAAAUCCGGUUCACUUUAACACUGAGGCGUGACGACGAGGCACUACGGUGCUGAAGCAACAAAUGCCCUGCUUCCAGGAAAAGCCUCUAAGCAUCAGGUAACAUCAAAUCGUACCCCAAACCGACACAGGUGGUCAGGUAGAGAAUACCAAGGCGCUUGAGAGAACUCGGGUGAAGGAACUAGGCAAAAUGGUGCCGUAACUUCGGGAGAAGGCACGCUGACACGUAGGUGAAGUGAUUUACUCACGGAGCUGAAGUCAGUCGAAGAUACCAGCUGGCUGCAACUGUUUAUUAAAAACACAGCACUGUGCAAACACGAAAGUGGACGUAUACGGUGUGACGCCUGCCCGGUGCCGGAAGGUUAAUUGAUGGGGUCAGCGCAAGCGAAGCUCCUGAUCGAAGCCCCGGUAAACGGCGGCCGUAACUAUAACGGUCCUAAGGUAGCGAAAUUCCUUGUCGGGUAAGUUCCGACCUGCACGAAUGGCGUAAUGAUGGCCAGGCUGUCUCCACCCGAGACUCAGUGAAAUUGAACUCGCUGUGAAGAUGCAGUGUACCCGCGGCAAGACGGAAAGACCCCGUGAACCUUUACUAUAGCUUGACACUGAACAUUGAGCCUUGAUGUGUAGGAUAGGUGGGAGGCUUUGAAGUGUGGACGCCAGUCUGCAUGGAGCCGACCUUGAAAUACCACCCUUUAAUGUUUGAUGUUCUAACGUGGACCCGUGAUCCGGGUUGCGGACAGUGUCUGGUGGGUAGUUUGACUGGGGCGGUCUCCUCCUAAAGAGUAACGGAGGAGCACGAAGGUUGGCUAAUCCUGGUCGGACAUCAGGAGGUUAGUGCAAUGGCAUAAGCCAGCUUGACUGCGAGCGUGACGGCGCGAGCAGGUGCGAAAGCAGGUCAUAGUGAUCCGGUGGUUCUGAAUGGAAGGGCCAUCGCUCAACGGAUAAAAGGUACUCCGGGGAUAACAGGCUGAUACCGCCCAAGAGUUCAUAUCGACGGCGGUGUUUGGCACCUCGAUGUCGGCUCAUCACAUCCUGGGGCUGAAGUAGGUCCCAAGGGUAUGGCUGUUCGCCAUUUAAAGUGGUACGCGAGCUGGGUUUAGAACGUCGUGAGACAGUUCGGUCCCUAUCUGCCGUGGGCGCUGGAGAACUGAGGGGGGCUGCUCCUAGUACGAGAGGACCGGAGUGGACGCAUCACUGGUGUUCGGGUUGUCAUGCCAAUGGCACUGCCCGGUAGCUAAAUGCGGAAGAGAUAAGUGCUGAAAGCAUCUAAGCACGAAACUUGCCCCGA
rnacentral:rRNA from 1 species